rnacentral:rRNA from 1 species
CCCUUAGAUGUUCUGGGCUACACGCGCGCUACACUGAUGCACUCAACGAGUUUACGACCUUGCCCGAUAGGGUUGGGUAAUCUUUUUAAAAUGCAUCGUGAUGGGGAUAGAUUAUUGCAAUUAUUAAUCUUCAACGAGGAAUUCCUAGUAAGCGCGAGUCAUCAGCUCGUGCUGAUUACGUCCCUGCCCUUUGUACACACCGCCCGUCGCUCCUACCGAUUGAGUGCUCAGGUGAAUAAUUCGGACUGCAGCAAUGUUUGGAUCCCGAACGUUGCAGCGGAAAGUUUAGUGAACCUUAUCACUUAGAGGAAGGAGAAGUCGUAACA